rnacentral:rRNA from 1 species
GACGAACGCUGGCGGCGUGCUUAACACAUGCAAGUCGAACGGAAAGGCCCUGCUUUUGUGGUGUGCUCGAGUGGCGAACGGGUGAGUAACACGUGAGUAACCUGCCCUUGACUUUGGGAUAACUUCAGGAAACUGGGGCUAAUACAGUAUAGGAUCCCCUGCUGCAUGGUGGGGGUGGGAAAGUUGCGGCGGUUGGGGAUGGACUCGCGGCUUAUCAGCUUGCUGGUGGGGGAGUGGCUUACCAAGGCUUUGACGGGUAGCCGGCACGAGAGGGUGACCGGCCACCUUAGGCCUGCGAUAGGGACCAGAGUCCAAUGGUAGGCAGCAGUCGGGAAUAUUGCACAGUGGGCGGGCGCGUGAUGCAAAAACGUCGCGUUCGGGAUGCCGGCCUUCGGGUUGUAAAACGCUUUCGCUUGUGACGAAGCGUGAGUGACGGUAAUGGGUAAAGAAGCACCGGCUAACUACGUG